rnacentral:rRNA from 1 species
GACGAACGCUGGCGGCGUGCCUAAUACAUGCAAGUUGAGCGCUGAAGGUUGGUACUUGUACCAACUGGAUGAGCAGCGAACGGGUGAGUAGCGCGUGGGGAAUCUGCCUUUGAGCGGGGGACAACAUUUGGAAACGAAUGCUAAUACCGCAUAAAAACUUUAAACACAAGUUUUAAGUUUGAAAGAUGCAAUUGCAUCACUCAAAGAUGAUCCCGCGUUGUAUUAGCUAGUUGGUGAGGUAAAGGCUCACCAAGGCGAUGAUACAUAGCCGACCUGAGAGGGUGAUCGGCCACAUUGGGACUGAGACACGGCCCAAACGCCUACGGGAGGCAGCAGUAGGGAAUCUUCGGCAAGAGACGAAAGUCUGACCGAGCAACGCCGCGUGAGUGAAGAAGGGUUUCGGAUCGUAAAACUCGGUUGGUAGAGAAGAACGUUGGUGAGAGUGGAAAGCUCAUCAAGUGACGGUAACUACCCAGAAAGGGACGGCUAACUACGUG